GCCAGAGUGGCAUAGUGGUUUGAGUGUUAGACUACGAUUAUGGAGACCAAAGUUCUAUUCCCUGCUCAGCCA